rnacentral:misc_RNA from 1 species
UCUCCGUUGGUGAACCAGCGGAGGGAUCAUUACAGGAUCGAAAGACUCCUAUAACCCCUGUGAACUUACUACAAAUACGUUGCUUCGGCAGGUGCCCCGGGUCUCCCGGGGCGUUCAGCCCGCCGGCAGCCUUCAAAUUCUGUUUCUUUGCGUUGGCAUCUCGAGUAUACAAAAAUAAGUUAAAACUUUCAACAACGGAUCUCUUGGUUCUG